CCUACGGGUGGCUGCAGUGGGGAAUAUUGGACAAUGGGGGGAACCCUGAUCCAGCCAUGCCGCGUGUGUGAAGAAGGCCCUCGGGUUGUAAAGCACUUUCAGUGAGGAAGAACGCCUGGUGGUUAAUACCCAUCAGGAAAGACAUCACUCACAGAAGAAGCACCGGCUAACUCCGUGCCAGCAGCCGCGGUAAUACGGAGGGUGCGAGCGUUAAUCGGAAUUACUGGGCGUAAAGCGCGCGUAGGUGGCUUGAUAAGCCGGUUGUGGAAGCCCCGGGCUCAACCUGGGAACGGCAUCCGGAACUGUCAAGCUAGAGUGCAGGAGAGGAAGGUAGAAUUCCCGGUGUAGCGGUGAAAUGCGUAGAGAUCGGGAGGAAUACCAGUGGCGAAGGCGGCCUUCUGGACUGACACUGACACUGAGGUGCGAAAGCGUGGGUAGCAAACAGGAUUAGAUACCCUAGUAGUC
rnacentral:rRNA from 1 species